CGGCGGACGGGUGAGUAAUGCCUAGGAAUCUGCCUGGUAGUGGGGACAACGUUUCGAAAGGAACGCUAAUACCGCAUACGUCCUACGGGAGAAAGCAGGGGACCUUCGGGCCUUGCGCUAUCAGAUGAGCCUAGGUCGAUUAGCUAGUUGGUGAGGUAAUGGCUCACCAAGGCGACGAUCCGUAACUGGUCUGAGAGGAUGAUCAGUCACACUGGAACUGAGACACGGUCCAGACUCCUACGGGAGGCAGCAGAC
rnacentral:rRNA from 1 species